rnacentral:rRNA from 1 species
GACGAACGCUGGCGGCGUGCUCAACACAUGCAAGUCGAACGGAAAGGCCCUGCUUUUGUGGGGUGCUCGGGUGGCGAACGGGUGAGUAACACGUGAGUAACCUGCCCUUGACUUUGGGAUAACUUCAGGAAACUGGGGCUAAUACCGGAUAGGAGCUCCUGCUGCAUGGUGGGGGUUGGAAAGUUUCGGCGGUUGGGGAUGGACUCGCGGCUUAUCAGCUUGUUGGUGGGGUAGUGGCUUACCAAGGCUUUGACGGGUAGCCGGCCUGAGAGGGUGACCGGCCACAUUGGGACUGAGAUACGGCCCAGACUCCUACGGGAGGCAGCAGUGGGGAAUAUUGCACAAUGGGCGGAAGCCUGAUGCAGCAACGCCGCGUGCGGGAUGACGGCCUUCGGGUUGUAAACCGCUUUCGCCUGUGACGAAGCGUGAGAGACGGUAAUGGGUAAAGAAGCACCGGCUAACUACGUG